CCUAGUGGUGCUAUUGGCUAAGAAUGCAGCCGAAGAUUAAUCUCCAGGCCACUGCUUCCAGCAGCACUCUGAAGAUCAAUGAGUGUGUGGGCGUCACUGACGAGGCCAGCAUUUGUUGCCCAUCCCUCAACAUCUUUGAACUCAGUGCGUUGCUUGGUUAUUUCAAAGCGAGUUUGGAGCCACCCACAUUGCUGUGGGUCUGGAGUUACAGGUAGGACAGACCAGGUGGUUUUUCCUGAAGACACGAGGAAACAAUGAAAAAUAAAAAAGUAAUUAAUAGGAAAGGAAAUAAUUCCAGACAAGCAGAGAAGAAUGAGCCUGAAGAGACUUUGUUAAGGAAGAGCAAUUUUUUUUGACAUAUAGGCUGCAGCAGUUAAUAGACCAGCACAAUAGUCAAUGUACAUGUAACUGAGACAGUAUUCAGAUUCAUUAUCAAAUAUCACAAACCAAUAACAUAGAAAUCAACCACUAAUAAA